rnacentral:rRNA from 1 species
GGCUCAGGACGAACGCUGGCGGCGUGCCUAAUACAUGCAAGUGGAACGCAUUUUGAUCACCGUAGCUUGCUACACCGAUUAAAAUGAGUCGCGAACGGGUGAGUAACGCGUAGGUAACCUACCUUCUAGCGGGGGACAACUAUUGGAAACGAUAGCUAAUACCGCAUAAGACAUUUUAUCGCAUGAUAGGAUGUUAAAAGAUACAAUUGUAUCACUAGGAGAUGGACCUGCGUUGUAUUAGCUAGUUGGUGAGGUAACGGCUCACCAAGGCAGCGAUACAUAGCCGACCUGAGAGGGUGAUCGGCCACACUGGGACUGAGACACGGCCCAGACUCCUACGGGAGGCAGCAGUAGGGAAUCUUCGGCAAUGGGGGCAACCCUGACCGAGCAACGCCGCGUGAGUGAAGAAGGUUUUCGGAUCGUAAAGCUCUGUUGUAAGCGAAGAACAGUGUUAGGAGUGGAAAGUCUAACACAUGACGGUAGCUUACCAGAAAGGGACGGCUAACUACGUGCCAGCAGCCGCGGUAAUACGUAGGUCUCGAGCGUUGUCCGGAUUUAUUGGGCGUAAAGCGAGCGCAGGCGGUUAGAUAAGUCAGAAGUUAAAGGCUGUGGCUCAACCAUAGUACGCUUUUGAAACUGUUUAACUUGAGUGCAGAAGGGGAGAGUGGAAUUCCAUGUGUAGCGGUGAAAUGCGUAGAUAUAUGGAGGAACACCGGUGGCGAAAGCGGCUCUCUGGUCUGUCACUGACGCUGAGGCUCGAAAGCGUGGGUAGCGAACAGGAUUAGAUACCCUGGUAGUCCACGCCGUAAACGAUGAGUGCUAGGUGUUAGACCCUUUCCGGGGUUUAGUGCCGCAGCUAACGCAUUAAGCACUCCGCCUGGGGAGUACGACCGCAAGGUUGAAACUCAAAGGAAUUGACGGGGGCCCGCACAAGCGGUGGAGCAUGUGGUUUAAUUCGAAGCAACGCGAAGAACCUUACCAGGUCUUGACAUCCCUCUGACCGGCCUAGAGAUAGGCUUUCCCUUCGGGGCAGAGGAGACAGGUGGUGCAUGGUUGUCGUCAGCUCGUGUCGUGAGAUGUUGGGUUAAGUCCCGCAACGAGCGCAACCCUUAUUGUUAGUUGCCAUCAUUUAGUUGGGCACUCUAGCGAGACUGCCGGUAAUAAACCGGAGGAAGGUGGGGAUGACGUCAAAUCAUCAUGCCCCUUAUGACCUGGGCUACACACGUGCUACAAUGGUUGGUACAACGAGUCGCAAGCCGGUGACGGCAAGCUAAUCUCUUAAAGCCAAUCUCAGUUCGGAUUGUAGGCUGCAACUCGCCUACAUGAAGUCGGAAUCGCUAGUAAUCGCGGAUCAGCACGCCGCGGUGAAUACGUUCCCGGGCCUUGUACACACCGCCCGUCACACCACGAGAGUUUGUAACACCCGAAGUCGGUGAGGUAACCUAUUAGGAGCCAGCCGCCGAAGGUGGGAUAGAUGAUUGGGGUGAAGUCGUAACAAGGUAGCCGUAUCGGAAGGUGCGGCUGGAUCACCUCCUUU